CAGGUGACACACUCACCUGUCUGUGUUUCUGCAGGUUCAACAUUCACAAUGUGACGACAACUUAAUGACUGUGUUUGCUUUAUUUUAGACAAACACACCACCGCACCUCCACCUACAUCCACACUCCCACCUACAUCCACCUCUCCUCCUGGUUCCUCUGUCAUACCUGUGCUGUCAUCUGUUGGAUCAGUCUGUUUUCUGAUCCUACUGGUGUUACUGGUUUUGUUGAUUAGACAACAUGUUCACAGGAAACCUAAAGAUCAAGCUGUGAAAGAAGAGAUCACAUACAGUGACAUUAGAAUAAAACAUCAUCAACAACAACAACCAAUAAAACAAAACAAAGAAGGUGAUCCAGCUGUAAUCUACUCAGGAGUGAGAAAUGACGACAUCAAUUAUGAACAAAUCGUCAUCACAGACAAGCAAGAAAAAUCAAAGACGAGAGGUACAGCAGCUCUUCUUUGUCUCCAUCCUUCACUUCUACAGCCAGACUCUGAGGCUGUGGUUUAGCAGGGUUAAGCUUCACCAUGUUAGUCAUGCUAGCAUCUUCUAAUUAGCAUAAGGCUGAUGAAAAUACAAUGGAUGGAUGGUUAACGUUUAUUACAGUUUAUCGGCUGCACACACAAAAUCACACACAUGUCACCCACAUUCUGGAAAAUGCAAUCAAUAGGAUAACUGCAUUAUGCACAAAAUUAUAAUUAAUUAAUUCAAACAAGAUCAUAUUUUCAUGCAAAAUGAUUUGUUCUCAUAAGAUCAUCCAUCCAUCAUUUCUUACUACUUAUGUAGGUGCAACAGCUUAAACAGCUCUGCUCUGAAGGUCUUCUGGGGAAAAAUCACUGCGUUCCCAACCAGCUGAAAGACAUGUUCUGAGAAAACGGUCCAGUCAGACUGUGGCUGUAUUUGGAUUCAAAAUGUACAACCCAGGAAAUUGCUGAAUUCUGUUUAACAAGUUUAUUUACAAAACUUAAACAACAACCUCCUGAGACUGGGACCAAACAGGUUGGUGAGACUAAUUCAGAGCAUAGUGUGAAUAAUGCAGUUGUGCUCAGUGUUUACUUGGUAUUUCUCCACAGAGUGGUGGAGGGUGGUGAGUUAAGCAGGUGAAUCUCAGUCCUCUUUCCAAUCUAAAUUCCAAGGUGAAUCACGCAGAAGGUGAUUUUAAAAUCAGACACUAGUACAAUGAAAAAAACAAACAAACAAACAAAGGAGCUACUCCCAGAAGUUGUCUAGUAGUGUUUUGUGGGAGAAACGUUUUGUCACACAUCCAGGUGACUCCUUCAGUCUCAGCUGACGGCAGGUU